AACCUUAUGGACCUGCGGGCGUAUACCUGCGGAGGGAUCAUUAUCAAAACAGCGGCCUUCGGGCCUUGCUGCACCCUUGUCUUUUGCGCACCGUAUUGUUUCCUCGGCGGGCUUGCCUGCCGGUUGGACAUUAUCAAACCUUUUUGUAGUUGCAAUCAGCGUCGGAAAAACAAUAAUUAUUACAACUUUUAACAACGGAUCU
rnacentral:misc_RNA from 1 species